rnacentral:rRNA from 1 species
CCUACGGGUGGCAGCAGUAGGGAAUCUUCCACAAUGGGCGAAAGCCUGAUGGAGCAACGCCGCGUGAGUGAAGAAGGUCUUCGGAUCGUAAAACCCUGUUGUUAGAGAAGAAAGGGCGUGAGAGUAACUGUUAACGUUUCGACGGGAUCUAACCGGAAAGCCACGGCUAACUACGUGCCAGACGCCGCGGUAAUACGUAGGUGGCAAGCGUUAUUCGGAUUUAUUGGGAGUAAAGGGAAGGCAGGCGGUCGUUUAAGUCUGAUGUGAAAGCCUUCGGCUUAACCGGAGUAGUGCAUUGGAAACUGGGAGACUUGAGUGCAGAAGAGGAGAGCGGAACUCGAUGUGUAGCGGUGAAAUGCGUAGAUAUAUGGAAGAACACCAGUGGCGAAAGCGGCUCUCUGGUCUGUAACUGACGCUGAGGUUCGAAAGCGUGGGUAGCAAACAGGAUUAGAUACCCGAGUAGUC